GGUCAUUCAUGCUUUUCAUUAGGUGGUUGUUUUGGAAGUCAAUCAGUUAUAGCCUACUGUAUUUCAUUUAUAUGACAAAUUUUUGAAAAAUGGAGCCUAAGUUCCACUUACUUUCUGAAUAAAUGAGAUUGAAUGAGUCACUAAAUCCAAAUAUUCAUGAGCAGCUUGAUUCAAUUGCAGUUUAUAUGCAAGACUUGUAGGUGGUACCUUUGUGUG
rnacentral:lncRNA from 1 species